UACGUAGGGGGCGAGCGUUGUCCGGAUUCAUUGGGCGUAAAGAGCUCGUAGGCGGUUCGGCAAGUCGGGUGUGAAAACUCCAGGCUCAACCUGGAGACGCCACCCGAUACUGCUGUGACUCGAGUCCGGUAGGGGACCACGGAAUUCCUGGUGUAGCGGUGAAAUGCGCAGAUAUCAGGAGGAACACCGAUGGCGAAGGCGGUGGUCUGGGCCGGAACUGACGCUUAGGAGCGAAAGCGUGGGGAGCGAACAGG
rnacentral:rRNA from 1 species